rnacentral:rRNA from 1 species
UACGUAGGGUGCGAGCGUUAAUCGGAAUUACUGGGCGUAAAGCGCACGUAGGCGGAUACUUAAGUCAGGGGUGAAAUCCCGAGGCUCAACCUCGGGACUGCCUUUGAUACUGGGUAUCUCGAGUCCGGAAGAGGUGAGUGGAAUUCCGAGUGUAGAGGUGAAAUUCGUAGAUAUUCGGAGGAACACCAGUGGCGAAGGCGGCUCACUGGUCCGGUACUGACGCUGAGGUGCGAAAGCGUGGGGAGCAAACAGG